rnacentral:rRNA from 1 species
AUUGAACGCUGGCGGCAUGCCUUACACAUGCAAGUCGAACGGCAGCACGGGUGCUUGCCCCUGGUGGCGAGUGGCGAACGGGUGAGUAAUACAUCGGAACAUGUCCCGUAGUGGGGGAUAGCCCGGCGAAAGCCGGAUUAAUACCGCAUACGAUCUACGGAUGAAAGCGGGGGACCUUCUGGCCUCGCGCUUUAGGGUUGGUCGAUGGCUGAUUAGCUAGUUGGUGGGGUAAAGGCCUACCAAGGCGACGAUCAGUAGCUGGUCUGAGAGGACGACCAGCCACACUGGGACUGAGACACGGCCCAGACUCCUACGGGAGGCAGCAGUGGGGAAUUUUGGACAAUGGGCGAAAGCCUGAUCCAGCAAUGCCGCGUGUGUGAAGAAGGCCUUCGGGUUGUAAAGCACUUUUGUCCGGAAAGAAAUCCUUGGCCCUAAUACGGUCGGGGGAUGACGGUACCGGAAGAAUAAGCACCGGCUAACUACGUG